rnacentral:rRNA from 1 species
GACGAACGCUGGCGGCGUGCUUAACACAUGCAAGUCGAGCGGAAAGGCCUGCUUUCCCUUGUGGAUUGCGGGUACUCGAGUGGCGAACGGGUGAGUAACACGUGAGUGAUCUGCCCCCAACUUGGGUAUAAGCCUGGGAAACUGGGUCUAAUUCCCGAUAGGACUGCAGGGUGGUGCCUGUGGUGGAAAACGAUUUUCUAGUGGUUGGGGAUGAGCUCGCGGCCUAUCAGCUUGUUGGUGGGGUAAUGGCCUACCAAGGCGGCGACGGGUAGCCGGCCUGAGAGGGUGGACGGCCACAUUGGGACUGAGAUACGGCCCAGACUCCUACGGGAGGCAGCAGUGGGGAAUAUUGCGCAAUGGGCGGAAGCCUGAUGCAGCGACGCCGCGUGGGGGAUGACGGCCUUCGGGUUGUAAACUCCUUUCGACCGCGAGGAAGCCACCUGGUUGGAAGGGUGGUGACGGUAGUGGUAGAAGAAGCACCGGCUAACUACGUG